rnacentral:lncRNA from 1 species
CCGCCGCCGUCUCUGUCUCUCAUCUCCCUCGCCUGAGCCCGGCCUCGCCUCACAGCGGCUCAACAUUCAAACUUCCAUCACGGCUGCAGCUUCUGAGAGGAGAGCAUCUUCUAGGUUCGUAAUCUAUGUUGAUCUUAUGUUAAUACCACACUCUGUUGAUUAUUGCAGCUUUAUCGUAUGUUUUAAAAUUGGCUAGUGUAAGUCUUUUAAUUGUGUUUUUCUUUUUCAAAAUUGCCUUGACUAUUCAAGUCCUAGGUAUCACCAUAUAGGUUUAGGAUCAGCUAGUCAAUCUCUACAAAAGGUACUACUAGAAUUUUGACAAGGAUUGCCGUGUACUUAUUGAUAAAUUUGGAGAUAAUUUCUAUCUUAACAAUACUGAGUCCUCCAUGAUCAUGGAAUGUUUUUUCCAUUCUUUUUCAUCUUUUAAAACUUAUCUCAGCAUUUUAUAUUUUUUCUAUGUAUAGGUCUUAUAUUUCUGUUGUUUAAUAUAUUGCAAAGUGCUAUUUUCUAUACUGCAACUAUAAAAAUAUUUUUCUUAAUUUCACUUUUGGAUUAUUACUAGUAUUAGAACACAUAUGAUUUUUGUUAUACAUACUGUAUCCUGACAUCUUGCUAAAUGGAUUUGUUAGUUAUAGAAGUUUCUUCGUAGAUUUCACAGGAGUUUUGUUUUUGUUUUUGUUUUUCUUACAUACAGGAUCAUGUAGUCGGAGAUUAAAAAGAGUUCUACUUUUUCCUUUCCAACCUGGAAGCCUUUUAUUGCAAUUUCUUAUCUGACUGUACUGUCUGAUAUCUCCAGUGCAAGGUUGAAUAAAAGUAGUGAAAACAGACAUUGUUACUUUGCUACCAAAAUUAUAGGCAAAGCAUUCAGUCUUUUGAAGCUUUCAUGUUUAAGGCCUCAAGGAUGCUGUAGUUACACAAUUCCCAAGACACAGAAUCAUUGGGACAGGAAAGGAAUUCAUUCUACUGUGUCCCCAGAAUAUGAAUCAUGUUGCAAUGUACUGGUAUCGACAGAACCCAGGACUUGGACUGAAGCUAGUCUAUUAUUCACCUGGCACUGGGAGCAUUGAAAAAGGAGAUGUCUCUGAGAGGUAUCAUGUUUCUUGAAAUACUAUAGCAUCUUUUCUCCUGACCCUGAAGUCUGCUAGCACCAACCAGACAUGUGUGUAUCUCUGCGCCAGCAGUUCAUCCACAGCACUGCAUAGCUGCCACAUCCUCUCCACAUAAAAAAAGGUGCAUACCAAAGAGGAAAAGCCUGCCCUCAAAAUUCCUCACCGCAAAUAAGAGAAGUUACCUCACAGGUAUUGACAAAAAGAGCCAAACUCUGUAAAAUAUUUGAAGAGAUUUAUUCUGAGCCAAACAUGAGUGAGCAUGGCCAGAGGCAGAGGCUCAAGGGCCUAAGAACGUGUGUCCAAGGUGGUCAGCCUACAGCUUGGUUUUAUACCUUUUUGGAGACAUCAGACAUCAAUCAAUACAUGUAAGCUGUACAUUGUUUCAAUUUGGAAAGGUGGGACAACUCAAAGAGGGGGCUUCCGGGUCAUAGGUGGAUUCAAAGAUUUUUCAGACUGGCAGUUGGUUGAAAGAGUUAAGUUAUCGUCUAAAGAUUUGAAAUCAAUAUAAAGAAGUAUCUGGGUUGUGGGGACCAAGGUUCUUAUUAUGCAGAUGAAGCCUCCAGGGAGCAGGCUUCAGAGAGAAUAGAUUGUAUUUCUUAAUCAAACUUUUAAAAGGUGCCAGACUCAUAAUUCUCUUCUGGAUCAGGGGAAAAACCUGAAAAGGAAAGAGAAUUAUCUACAGAAUGUAGAUUUCCCUCAUGAUAGACAGCUUUGUAGGGCCGUUUAAAAAUAUGUCGGAAAAUACAUUUUGGGGUAAAAUAUUGAUUUUUUUCAGGGCCUGCUAGGAGUCAUGUUGGUGUCUUAUUGCUACAAAGGGUCUGUUUUGUCACUCAUAAGGUUUCCAUUGUAAUGUUAAUGCUGGUUGGUUGUGCCUGAAUUCUAAAGUGAAGAGGGUAUAAUGAGGCAUGUCUGACCCCACUUCCCACUAAGAACUGAACUGGUUUUUCAUGUUAACUUUGGAAUGCUCUUGGCCAAGAGAAGGGGUCCACACAGUUGGUUGUGGGGCUUAGGAUUUUAUUUUUGGUUCACACAAAAGUAUACCAAUGUCCUCCCCUAGGUUUGAUAUGCCCUGCUUCCCUCUUUCCAUUUUUGUCCUUCUAGGACACCUUUUUGGUUGUUAUUAAACCCUUCAUUUCUUGUCAAUAUCCCACUAGACUAUAGGGCAUCAACACAAUAUGAACACUUGUCUUGGUUUAUUUGUGCUACUAUAGCAAAAUAACUGAGAUUGGAUAAUUUAUAAACAUGAACUUGUCACAGUU